rnacentral:rRNA from 1 species
UACGAGGGGUGCUAACGUUAUUCGGAAUUACUGGGCGUAAAGGGUGUGUAGACGGCAUAUUAAGUCAAUUGUUAAAUUCUUCGGCUUAACCGGAGACCUGCGGUUGAAACUGAUGUGCUAGAGGAUGGAAGAGAGAAGUGGAAUUCUCGGAGUAGCGGUAAAAUGCGUAGAUCUCGAGAGGAACACCGAUGGCGAAGGCAGCUUCUUGGUCCAUUUCUGACGUUGAGACACGAAAGCGUGGGGAGCAAACAGGAUUAGAUACCCCCGUA